UUUUUUUUGGUCUUUAAAGACAGGGUCUCACUAUGUAGUUCGUGCUGACCUUGAACUCAUUGUGUAGCCCAGACUUCAAACUUGCGGCUGUCUUCCUGCCUCAACCUCCUUAGUGUGCUGGGAAUACAAGUGAACACCACCACACCUGGUGUACGGUUUUUAUGAAGCUUGCACCAUAUGUGUUCUUGUUCAACUCUGUGACAUUUUAUUAGGGGUGAGAAGCAAGCUGGGAAGUGGGUUGUUAAGAGUCUGUUUCAGAAGAAGAGAUAGAAAAUUGGCCUUGUAUGAGCUGGAAUUUUGAAAGUUACUUUCCUGACUUGACUGCUCUUUUCUCUCAACAGAGGUCGAGGGGUGUACUUAUGAUAUUGCCUAAUAUUAUUAGGACUUCUAGAAUCUUAAGUUCUCUUUCUUGUGGUUUCUCAGGAGAGACAGAUGGUCAAAGGCUUUCCCAGAGGAAAACGACCAAAGAUGUUUGUGCUCAUACCCACACAUAGACCCCCGUCAGUCGACCACCUGUGUCCAGCCAGCGAGACGUCCACCCCAGAAAGGAGUCACCUGGGUUCGGGCGCCUGCCACACCCCACUGAGCCUGCAGAGUGGACUCACGCCCUGCCCACCCGGACCCUCCAAUCCUGCUGCCUCCUACCUAUGGGGAGAAGGCACAGCCUGGUGGAGCUACAGCCUCCUGAACCCUGAGGGACUGUGGUUCCUUUCUGUUGAGCUGGGGUUUCCCUCUCCAGCCUCUGUGACUGAGAAUGUCCUGAGGUCAGGGCACCGCUGCGCCAGGGAGAAGACCAGGUGACCACUACCACAGAAGUCUGCUCCAAUGAGGGGCAUGCAGGAAGAAGCCCAAACUCCACGUAAGAUGUCCACCAUUCAUAACUGUGAUGACAAUGACAGAUGACAUCGCUGCACCCCAUCGGCCAGAUGGUAUGCCAGGGUUUAAAUAGUCCUCAAGGGCACUUAGCCCUUUCUGCCAACCUCUGAGGCCAGCACCAUUCUGAGUUCCAUUCACCAUGUUGCAGUGGGGAAAAGUGAGGCAUAGGGCAGUCAAGCUCCUCUUGCUCAAGGUCAUGCCUGGUAGGGACUUUGCACCAGGACGUCCGACCCAAGACCCCAGGCUCUCUUCCAUCUCACGUGGCCUGUGUCGGCAGAGGAGGCCCUGCAGAGGUCCAAGCAGCACUGUCCUUUGUGGGAAAUGGAACUGAGUGGAAUAAAGGCCAGCACUGCACAGGCUUUUCACCACGUUGCCCUUCAUCUCUGUCUCUCCAGGGUCCCGGGCCUUGACUAUGGAAGGCACUGGUACAUAUUUGAUGAAUGCAUGAAUGAAUGGAUGAAUAAAAUUGCUUUGUGUAGGGUCCAAUGAAUACCAAGUGUUCGAUACUCUGCUGCUAUUAUUAAGUUUGUUCAUUGCUUAUGCAUCCUGUUCCAGAAAAGGUGGCCUGAGAUGCCUUUCUUGGUCAAUACUGAAAGUUAUAGGGAAGUCAGUGAACAGGAAAUUGAUUCUUUUAGCUGCACUAUGGGUGCCCGCGACGAUAAUGCACUAGGAGACCUUGCUUUGUAUCCAAGUUUUCCCCUUCUGAGUUUUGUGAUCUUGUUUACCUUGCAGGUUUCCUGGGGGAAAAAGGGAGUAUUGCGUAUUUGGAAAGCAAUGUCCAAAAGUAAAAUAUCAUCAUCACUGUUUUCCUAUUGGUGUUUUGCUGUUCUUCCCAGUCAGUGCCCCAUGGAGCUGCUGGGAGCUGCUGGGUGACACAAAGAGGGACAGAAGCUGUGCAGCCAGGUGUGACAGGUUCCUNNNNNNNNNNNNNNNNNNNNNNNNNNNNNNNNNNNNNNNNNNNNNNNNNNNNNNNCCUGCUGAGCCCCCUAGAAAAAACACGCAAGUAUAUGCCACAACUGGAUUUUGAAACAGAUUCUAAAACAGAACCUAAAAUAGAUGCUAUGCCUACAAUCAUCAUGACAAUAGACUUACUGAGAAACAUGAAAAUGAUCUCAACUACUGACUUACAGAAAAGUAGCAGCACUGUCACCCAUGAGAAACACAAGACAAUAACAGAGUUUGGAUUAUCAGAUAAAUAUUAUAUUCGAAUGCAAUCCUUUACCUUCUAAGGUUCACACUCCAAAAUUUAAUUAAUCACUUAUUCAUUAAUCCUUAGAGGUAUUUCAGAGUAGAAAGAACACUUUAAGUCCCAUUUAUGCCAAUGAAUAGCUAUGUGAUGUUGUAUAAAAAAAUUAACUUCUCUGAAUAUCAGGAACUUGUUUUCAAUGGGCAGAUAAAUAAAUGGCUUGGGCACUGCAUGGACUACCUGGUAUGUGCCCCAUGCCUGGUAUUUAGUGAAUGGGAAGAUCUGGCCAGAAACUAUCUUUGAUUCUUUGGCAUGGUUAACAACAUGCAGAUUUUAGCAGGGAG
rnacentral:lncRNA from 1 species